ensembl:snoRNA
AUCCUUUUGUAGUUCAUAAGCAUGAUGACUGGGUUUUCAUGCUUGUGUGUGAGAUGUGCUUCCCUCAAACCUUGUUAUGAUGGUGGCACAUUACCCAUCUGAUG